rnacentral:pre_miRNA from 1 species
AGUAGGAUAGCUGAGUCAAAUAGUGGUUCCAUUCUAAGUUUUCUAAGGAAUGUCCAUACUGCUUUCCAGAUUGGCUACACCAAUUUGCAGUCCCACCAGCAAU